rnacentral:rRNA from 1 species
GACGUACGCUGGCGGCGUGCUUAACACAUGCAAGUCGAACGAUGAAGCCUAGCUUGCUAGGUGGAUUAGUGGCGAACGGGUGAGUAAUACGUGAGUAACCUACCUUUAACUCUGGGAUAAGCCUGGGAAACUGGGUCUAAUACCGGAUACGACCAAUCUCCGCAUGGGGUGUUGGUGGAAAGCGUUAUGUAGUGGUUAUAGAUGGGCUCACGGCCUAUCAGCUUGUUGGUGAGGUAACGGCUCACCAAGGCGACGACGGGUAGCCGGCCUGAGAGGGUGACCGGCCACACUGGGACUGAGACACGGCCCAGACUCCUACGGGAGGCAGCAGUGGGGAAUAUUGCACAAUGGGCGCAAGCCUGAUGCAGCGACGCCGCGUGAGGGAUGACGGCCUUCGGGUUGUAAACCUCUGUUAGCAGGGAAGAAGAGAGAUUGACGGUACCUGCAGAGAAAGCGCCGGCUAACUACGUG